rnacentral:rRNA from 1 species
AUUGAACGCUGGCGGCAGGCCUAACACAUGCAAGUCGAACGAGUGGCGGACGGGUGCGUAAUGUCUGGGAAACUGCCUGAUGGAGGGGGAUAACUACUGGGAACGGUAGCUAAUACCGCAUACCAUCGGAUGUGCCCAGAUGGGAUUAGCUAGUAGGUGGGGUAACGGCUCACCAAGGCGACGAUCACUAGCUGGUCUGAGAGGAUGACCAGCCACACUGGAACUGAGACACGGUCCAGACUCCUACGGGCGGCAGCAGUGGGGAAUAUGUCCCAAUGGGCGCAAGCCUGAUGCAGCCAUGCCGCGUGGAUGAAGAAGGCCUUCGGGUUGUAAAGUACUUUCAGCGGGGAGGCGUUACCCGCAGAAGAAGCACCGGCUAACUACGUGCCAGCAGCGGCGGUAAUUC